GGAAAACAGGCUGACACCAACAGAAAGCUCCUGCAGGAGACAGAGAAAAGGGAAAAAGCUGAGAGGGACGUGGAGAGCCUGAAGACUCAGCUGGAGUCCAACACAAAGCAGCUGGAGAAAACUGAGAGGAAGCUGGAGGAGACUGAAGAUCAACUGGACACAAAGACCACUGUCUGCACGAACCUGCAGAGAGAGCUCCAGGAUGAGAAGGACAGCAGGACAAAGUUUGACAAAAAAGUGGAGACCCAGAAGAGGGAGCUGCAGAAAAAUAUAUCAGA